rnacentral:rRNA from 1 species
UACGGAGGGUGCAAGCGUUGUUCGGAAUUAUUGGGCGUAAAGCGCGUGUAGGCGGCUAUUUAAGUCUGAUGUGAAAGCCCGGGGCUCAACCUCGGAAGUGCAUUGGAAACUGGCAGGCUUGAGUCUGGUAGAGGAAAGUGGAAUUCCUGGUGUAGCGGUGAAAUGCGCAGAUAUCAGGAGGAACACCAGUGGCGAAGGCGGCUACCUGGACCGAUACUGACGCUGAGACGCGAAAGCGUGGGGAG